rnacentral:rRNA from 2 species
GUCAUGCCAAUGGCACUGCCCGGUAGCUAAAUGCGGAAGAGAUAAGUGCUGAAAGCAUCUAAGCACGAAACUUGCCCCGAGAUGAGUUCUCCCUGAGACUUUAAGUCUCCUGAAGGAACGUUAAAGACGAUGACGUUGAUAGGCCGGGUGUGUAAGCGCAGCGAUGCGUUGAGCUAACCGGUACUAAUGAACCGUGAGGCUUAACCUUACAACGCCGAAG